UGUCCUACGGGGGGCAGCAGUGGGGAAUAUUGCACAAUGGGGGAAACCCUGAUGCAGCGACGCCGCGUGAGCGAAGAAGUAUUUCGGUAUGUAAAGCUCUAUCAGCAGGGAAGAAAAAAAUGACGGUACCUGAGUAAGAAGCACCGGCUAAAUACGUGCCAGCAGCCGCGGUAAUACGUAGGGGGCAAGCGUUAUCCGGAUUUACUGGGUGUAAAGGGAGCGUAGACGGCAGGGCAAGUCUGGAGUGAAAGGCGGGGGCGCAACCCCCGGACUGCUCUGGCAACUGCCAGGCUGGAG
rnacentral:rRNA from 1 species